rnacentral:rRNA from 1 species
UAGGGAAUCUUCGGCAAUGGACGGAAGUCUGACCGAGCAACGCCGCGUGAGUGAAGAAGGUUUUCGGAUCGUAAAGCUCUGUUGUUAGAGAAGAACGUUGGUAGGAGUGGAAAAUCUACCAAGUGACGGUAACUAACCAGAAAGGGACGGCUAACUACGUGCCAGCAGCCGCGGUAAUACGUAGGUCCCGAGCGUUGUCCGGAUUUAUUGGGCGCAAAGCGAGCGCAGGCGGUUCUUUAAGUCUGAAGUUAAAGGCAGUGGCUUAACCAUUGUACGCUUUGGAAACUGGAGGACUUGAGUGCAGAAGGGGAGAGCGGAAUUCCAUGUGUAGCGGUGAAAUGCGUAGAUAUAUGGAGGAACACCGGUGGCGAAAGCGGCUCUCUGGUCUGUAACUGACGCUGAGGCUCGAAAGCGUGGGGAGCAAACAGG